AGAAUCAACGCUGGCGGCGUGCCUCAGACAUGCAAGUCGAACGCGAAAGUCUCCUUCGGGGGACAAGUAGAGUGGCGCACGGGUGAGUAACACGUAGGUAAUCUACCUUCGGAUGGGGAAUAACAACCGGAAACGGUUGCUAAUACCGCAUAAUGCAGCGGCACCUAAUGGUGACAGUUGUUAAAGCGGGGGAUCGAAAGACCUCGCGUCUGAAGAGGAGCCUGCGGCGGAUUAGCUAGUUGGUAGGUAACGGCCUACCAAGGCGACGAUCCGUA
rnacentral:rRNA from 1 species